CCUACGGGAGGCAGCAGUGGGGAAUAUUGGACAAUGGGCGCAAGCCUGAUCCAGCCAUGCCGCGUGAGUAUGAAGGCCUUAGGGUUGUAAAGCUCUUUCAGUGGGGACGAUAAUGACGGUACCCACAGAAGAAGCCCCGGCAACUUCGUGCCAGCAGCCGCGGUAAUACGAAGGGGGCUAGCGUUGUUCGGAUUUACUGGGCGUAAAGCGCACUAGGCGGAUCGUUAAGUCGGGGGUGAAAUCCUGGAGCUCAACUCCAGAACUGCCUUCGAUACUGGCGAUCUUAGUCCGGAAGAGGUGAGUGGAACUCCUAGUGUAGAGGUGGAAUUCGUAGAUAUUAGGAAGAACACCAGUGGCAAGGCGGCUCACUGGUCCGGUACUGACGCUGAGGUGCGAAAGCGUGGGGAUCAAACAGGAUUAGAUACCCUGUAGUCCACGCCGUAAACUAUGAUUACUCGUUUUCGGCACUUAAGUGUGUCGGAGACCAAGCGAAAGUGAUAAUAAUCCACCUGGGGAGUACGAUCGCAAGGUUGAAACUCAAAUGAAUUGACGGA
rnacentral:rRNA from 1 species